UACAGAGGUCUCAAGCGUUGUUCGGAUUCAUUGGGCGUAAAGGGUGCGUAGGUGGCGCGGUAAGGUCGGGUGUGAAAUUUCGGAGCUUAACUCCGAAACUGCAUUCGAUACUGCCGUGCUUGAGGACUGGAGAGGAGACUGGAAUUUACGGUGUAGCAGUGAAAUGCGUAGAUAUCGUAAGGAAGACCAGUGGCGAAGGCGGGUCUCUGGACAGUUCC
rnacentral:rRNA from 1 species